CACUUGUGAAUUUACUACAAUCAUUACCCUAUAUAUACAAGUAGUGGAUUCCACUAUUGUAACAGAAUUCUAACAAACUGAAUAAAAUAAAUUUAAACUAAAAUGUAUUUUUGUAGCUAAUUACAAAAGUGUCCUUAUUCCAUCCUAUUCUAGAAUACUGUAGAAAGAGGCUACUUGUCUUAAUCUGAUAGGUCCACGUGGCUUAGCAUAUUCAUGGACUUAUUUGAAGUUGAAAACACUUCGUGUCAAUCUUCUUCUUUGUCAUUUCUUGAGAGCUACCGACGAGCCAGGAGCUUGUCUCCGACAACACCCCCUGCAAGUUGGAGACGGUGAACGGACUCCUAACUUGAGAAGAAGGGAACAAUGAAGGGGCCAGACAUAGCUUUAGUAAAUAGAUCGGCCAACUAAGAAGAAGAAGGGACAAAAGAUAAAGAGAUCAGACCAUCAAGAAGCUUUUCACGAACGAAAUGGUAAUCAAGCUCAAUGUGCUUGGUUCGUUCGUGAAAGACGGGAUUUUUAGCAAUAUGAAUGGUCGUUUGGCUAUCAUAGUGAAGAGAAACGGGUAAAGAUGGAGAAAGAGAAAGAUCUUGUAACAAGUGAACCAAUCAGGUGAUCUCUGAAACUAGGCGACGCAUAGAACGAUAUUCCACCUCAGCGGAAGAAAGGGCAAUGACUGGCUGUUUCUUGGACUUCCAUGAAAUAGGAGAACCACCAAGGCUGAGGAAAAAUCCGCUAAUAGAAUGACGAGUAUCAGAGCAGAAAGCCCAGAGUCGCAAAAGGCAAGGAGCUGAAAUAAUGGAUCAGGGGCUAAGAAAAUGCCAAGACCAGGAUCGUGACGUAAACAUCGCAGAGUGUGAUAAGCAGCGAAAAGAUGUCCUUGGCAUAGAUUUUGCAUAUAUUGACUGAGGAUUUGGACUGCAAAAGAAAGAUUUGGCCUUGUGUUUGUUAAAAAAAAUUGAGUUUUUCCAAAAGGCAUCUGUAGACAAAGGGAUCUGGAAGAGGAGGUUUAUAAGAAGAAGAGAGUUUGAUAGUUGGGUCAAGAGAAGUAGAGACAGAUCUGGAUUCAAGGCAAUCAAACUCAGAUAAGGUUUCCAUGGCGAAUUUACGCUGAACUGUUACCAGAGAGCAAGAUGUCAUCAACAUAAACCGCAAUCAGAGUAACCAGAAUACCAGUGUGUUUAAAGAAUAAAGAAUAGUCAUUCAAGGAGCAAGUGAAACCUCUAGUGCUCAAAGCUGAAGACAGGCGUGCAUACCACUAACGUGAUACUUGUUUCAAUUCAUAAAGGGACUUACGGAGGCGACCAACAUAUGAAGGAGGCGGAGCUACCAUUCCGGGAGGAAACCUCAUAUAGACUUCUUCAUUGAGGUCCCCAUGAAGAAAUGCGUUGUUGACAUCUAGCUGGUUUGUUGUUCUGAGCUCCAUACCUGUUUUCCCUUGCCUGCCUAGACGCACUUGAAAUCUGUCCAGUACUAUAAAAAGCAGAAGAGUCGGUACUUAGAGUAUUUUGAGCAUGUACCUUCCUUUGUGAUUCUUCAUGGAGAAAAUAGAGUAGCCUGAGCAGUCGAAGGGAGUGACUUCAUCAUAAGAAUAUUUCCUCGAACACCGGUGUACACAUCAUUAAGACCCAUUAAGAAUUGAAUGAGUUGUUGAUCCUCAUUCAUCUUAGCACUAUGUGUUUUAGCUCCACAUUCACAAUCACAUCGACAAACCAUAUAAGUAUUGAGCUAUUUCAAUUGAUCCCAAAUUCUCUUAAGUUUAGUAAAAUAACCUGCUACGUCAGAAUUUCCUUGACUGAUAUUGUUGAGAUCUCGUUACAGCUAGAACAUCCUAACACCAUCUUCUUGUCCACAUCGUUCCUCAAGCUCAGUCCAUAGAUCCUUCGCAGUUUGAGAGUAAAUCACACUCUCUGAAAUAUCUCGGCUAAGGUAGUUGAGAAGCCAUGCUAUAACCAUAUCAUUUCAUCUUCUCCAAUGAUCAAAUAAAGGUGAAUCUGGAUCUGGAGAUCUACAACUUCCAGUGAUGAAACCUAGAUUAUGCUUAGCUGAGAGAGAGAUCAAAACACUUCGGUGCCAAUUGUUAUAUCUAGUACCAUUAAAGGUGAUAUUGAACAGAUUAAUCCCAAGGUUAUCUGAUGGAGCGAGGUAAUAAGGGUGAUUUUGAUCCAUCAAAAUAGAGGGAACAAUAGCUCUGCGUGCAGCUUCUGCUGCUAUAGGUGGAGUAAGUAAUUCAUCAGCCAUUGUGAAUCAAAGCAAGCAAAAAUUAGAGAAGAAAAAAAAUAUACAGAGCUCUUAUUGUUGCUCUGAUACCAUGCGAAACUUCAAAGAAAAAAAUGAUAUGAGGAAAA